CCCUUAGAUGUUCUGGGCCGCACGCGCGCUACACUGAUUCAUGCAACGAGUUUUGUCCUUGGCUGAAAGGCCUGGGUAAUCUUUGAACGUGAAUCGUGCUGGGGAUAGAUGAUUGCAAUUAUUCAUCUUCAACGAGGAAUUCCUAGUAAACGCAAGUCGUCAGCUUGCAUUGAUUACGUCCCUGCCCUUUGUACACACCGCCCGUCGCUCCUACCGAUUGAAUGGUCCAGUGAAGCGUUCGGACCGCUUCCUUUGGACGGGCAACCGUCUGUUGGUCGUGGGAAGCUCGUUAAACCUUAUCAUUUAGAGGAAGGAGAAGUCGUANCA
rnacentral:rRNA from 1 species